rnacentral:rRNA from 1 species
UACGUAGGGGGCAAGCGUUGUCCGGAUUUAUUGGGCGUAAAGAGCGUGUAGGCGGUUAGGUAGGUCCGGUGUGAAAACUCGAGGCUCAACCUCGAGACGCCGAUGGAAACCAUCUAACUAGAGUCCGGAAGAGGAGAGUGGAAUUCCUGGUGUAGCGGUGAAAUGCGCAGAUAUCAGGAAGAACACCCGUGGCGAAGGCGGCUCACUGGCUCAUUACUGACGCUCAGGCGCGAUAGCGUGGGGAUCAAACAGG